ACUUGAUUCACUUUACUCUUGUCCUGUUAUUACAUGGAAGCUUUGAAAACUCAGGUUAGAAUCCUUGGGUUCUGUUUUUUGAUACUUUUUUUCCUUUUUCAUAAUCUAUUUUUUGUUUUGUUUUGUUAAAUGUAAAUGUUUUAUACUUUAAAUUCUACUGACUUUGUAGGAUAUGGAUGCAUCAAAGAAGAACUAUAAAAAGUCAAAUAUUGAAGGAAGAAAUUUGGAAAAUAAUUUAGAGUCAAAUAAAAAGGGGAAACAUAAAAAGAGAAAGAAAAUGCAUGAAAUUGAUGGGGAAGCUACAAAGAACUGGGAAGAAGAGGGCUUCACUAGUAGAAAAAAGAAGAGAAAGAGAUUGGAAGAAAUGAGUGCUUCAAUGGCAAGCAAAAGACACAAACUUAUUGAAGAUAAUGAUCUUGAGAGUGCUGUCUCAAGUACAGAUUUAAGAGUGCUUAAAAAGAGUCGUGUGAGAUUUGUUGAAGAGGAAAAUUAUGCUGAUGAAGUGCUGCCUUUUAUGGAGCAACUAUUGAAUGAUGAGAAUGUGUCUCAAACUCCUAGUAUUUCUAAUAGUAUAAAUUCUUAGCAAGAUGAAGAAUUAGGUCAUCCAAAAGCAAAGAGGGUUAGAGGACCUACAUUGUUGAAAAAAUUUGGAACAUGCCUCAUGGAAAGACAAUUGAUGUGCAAUUUAAUAACCGCAACCAAGCUAUAAGAAAAGAAGGCAGAAAACUUGCUAGUUUUCUUGGUAUUCUAGCUAGAACUCCUUCAAUAAUGCCUUUAAACAUAGAUGACUGGAGAUGUUAUGAUAAAGAGGAGAAAAAUAAGUUGCUAAAAAUUGUGAGGGUAAGAAUUUAUUAUUCUUAACGGAUUCCAAUUUAAUUUUAUUUGAUUCAUUAAGAAAUUGCUUGAACGUUUUGUAGAAGAAGUUUUCUAUCCCAAUAUGUGGUGAGGAAUUUGUAAAAAGAUCAAUUGAAAAGAAAUGGAAAGAUUAUAAAUGUUACUUAAAGGGUAUGUAUUUGGGCAAUACAAAACCAAAGAUAUUUUAUUGAAGAAUAGACCAGAACGAAUCCCAAGAGAUCAAUGGAUUGGUCUUGUCUCAUAUUGGUUCUCUGAUAAAGCAAAGAAACGUACUCAAGCAAAUAGGAUUAAUAAAGCAAAGCAAAAAAUGCCUCACACGGGAGGAUCCAAAAACAUUGCAACAUUGAUGGAUAAACAGG